UACAGAGGGGGCGAGCGUUAUUCAGAAUUAUUGGGCGUAAAGGGCGCGUAGGCGGCCUUUCAAGUGACGGGUGAAAUCCCUCGGCUUAACCGAGGAACUGCCUGUCAGACUGGAAGGCUUGAGACCGGGAGAGGUGAGUGGAAUUCCCAGUGUAGCGGUGAAAUGCGUAGAUAUUGGGAGGAACACCAGUGGCGAAGGCGGCUCACUGGACCGGUACUGACGCUGAGGCGCGAAAGCGUGGGGAGCAAACAGG
rnacentral:rRNA from 1 species